GAUGAACGCUGGCGGCGUGCCUAAUACAUGCAAGUCGAGCGAACAGACGAGGAGCUUGCUCCUCUGACGUUAGCGGCGGACGGGUGAGUAACACGUGGAUAACCUACCUAUAAGACUGGGAUAACUUCGGGAAACCGGAGCUAAUACCGGAUAAUAUAUUGAACCGCAUGGUUCAAUAGUGAAAGACGGUUUUGCUGUCACUUAUAGAUGGAUCCGCGCCGCAUUAGCUAGUUGGUAAGGUAACGGCUUACCAAGGCAACGAUGCGUAGCCGACCUGAGAGGGUGAUCGGCAACACUGGAACUGGACCACGGUCCAGACUCCUACGGGAGGCAGCAGUAGGGAAUCUUCCGCAAUGGGCGAAAGCCUGACGGAGCAACGCCGCGUGAGUGAUGAAGGUCUUCGGAUCGUAAAACUCUGUUAUUAGGGAAGAACAAAUGUGUAAGUAACUAUGCACGUCUUGACGGUACCUAAUCAGAAAGCCACGGCUAACUACGUG
rnacentral:rRNA from 1 species